CCUACGGGAGGCUGCAGUGGGGAAUAUUGGACAAUGGGGGCAACCCUGAUCCAGCCAUGCCGCGUGUGUGAAGAAGGCCCUCGGGUUGUAAAGCACUUUCAGUGAGGAAGAACGCCUGGUGGUUAAUACCCAUCAGGAAAGACAUCACUCACAGAAGAAGCACCGGCUAACUCCGUGCCAGCAGCCGCGGUAAUACGGAGGGUGCGAGCGUUAAUCGGAAUUACUGGGCGUAAAGCGCGCGUAGGUGGCUUGAUAAGCCGGUUGUGAAAGCCCCGGGCUCAACCUGGGAACGGCAUCCGAAACUGUCAAGCUAGAGUGCAGGAGAGGAAGGUAGAAUUCCCGGUGUAGCGGUGAAAUGCGUAGAGAUCGGGAGGAAUACCAGUGGCGAAGGCGGCCUUCUGGACUGACACUGACACUGAGGUGCGAAAGCGUGGGUAGCAAACAGGAUUAGAUACCCGGGUAGUC
rnacentral:rRNA from 1 species